rnacentral:rRNA from 1 species
GAUGAACGCUGGCGGCGUGCCUAAUACAUGCAAGUCGAGCGAACGGACGAGAAGCUUGCUUCUCUGAUGUUAGCGGCGGACGGGUGAGUAACACGUGGAUAACCUACCUAUAAGACUGGGAUAACUUCGGGAAACCGGAGCUAAUACCGGAUAAUAUUUUGAACCGCAUGGUUCAAAAGUAAAAGACGGUCUUGCUGUCACUUAUAGAUGGAUCCGCGCUGCAUUAGCUAGUUGGUAAGGUAACGGCUUACCAAGGCAACGAUGCAUAGCCGACCUGAGAGGGUGAUCGGCCACACUGGAACUGAGACACGGUCCAGACUCCUACGGGAGGCAGCAGUAGGGAAUCUUCCGCAAUGGGCGAAAGCCUGACGGAGCAACGCCGCGUGAGUGAUGAAGGUCUUCGGAUCGUAAAACUCUGUUAUUAGGGAAGAAUAUAUGUGUAAGUAACUGUGCACAUCUUGACGGUACCUAAUCCGAAAGCCACGGCUAACUACGUGCCAGCAGCCGCGGUAAUACGUAGGUGGCAAGCGUUAUCCGGAAUUAUGGGGCGUAAAGCGCGCGUAGGCGGUUUUUUAAGUCUGAUGUGAAAGCCCACGGCUCAACCGUGGAGGGUCAUUGGAAACUGGAAAACUUGAGUGCAGAAGAGGAAAGUGGAAUUCCAUGUGUAGCGGUGAAAUGCGCAGAGAUAUGGAGGAACACCAGUGGCGAAGGCGACUUUCUGGUCUGUAACUGACGCUGAUGUGCGAAAGCGUGGGGAUCAAACAGGAUUAGAUACCCUGGUAGUCCACGCCGUAAACGAUGAGUGCUAAGUGUUAGGGGGUUUCCGCCCCUUAGUGCUGCAGCUAACGCAUUAAGCACUCCGCCUGGGGAGUACGACCGCAAGGUUGAAACUCAAAGGAAUUGACGGGGACCCGCACAAGCGGUGGAGCAUGUGGUUUAAUUCGAAGCAACGCGAAGAACCUUACCAAAUCUUGACAUCCUUUGACAACUCUAGAGAUAGAGCCUUCCCCUUCGGGGGACAAAGUGACAGGUGGUGCAUGGUUGUCGUCAGCUCGUGUCGUGAGAUGUUGGGUUAAGUCCCGCAACGAGCGCAACCCUUAAGCUUAGUUGCCAUCAUUAAGUUGGGCACUCUAAGUUGACUGCCGGUGACAAACCGGAGGAAGGUGGGGAUGACGUCAAAUCAUCAUGCCCCUUAUGAUUUGGGCUACACACGUGCUACAAUGGACAAUACAAAGGGCAGCGAAACCGCGAGGUCAAGCAAAUCCCAUAAAGUUGUUCUCAGUUCGGAUUGUAGUCUGCAACUCGACUACAUGAAGCUGGAAUCGCUAGUAAUCGUAGAUCAGCAUGCUACGGUGAAUACGUUCCCGGGUCU